rnacentral:rRNA from 1 species
GCUGUACGCUGGCGGCGUGCCUAAUACAUGCAGUCGAGCGAACAGAUAAGGAGCUUGCUCCUUUGAAGUUAGCGGCGGACGGGUGAGUAACACGUGGGUAACCUACCUAUAAGACUGGGAUAACUUCGGGAAACCGGAGCUAAUACCGGAUAACAUUUAGAACCGCAUGGUUCUAAAGUGAAAGAUGGUUUUGCUAUCACUUAUAGAUGGACCCGCGCCGUAUUAGCUAGUUGGUAAGGUAACGGCUUACCAAGGCGACGAUACGUAGCCGACCUGAGAGGGUGAUCGGCCACACUGGAACUGAGACACGGUCCAGACUCCUACGGGAGGCAGCAGUAGGGAAUCUUCCGCAAUGGGCGAAAGCCUGACGGAGCAACGCCGCGUGAGUGAUGAAGGGUUUCGGCUCGUAAAACUCUGUUAUUAGGGAAGAACAAAUGUGUAAGUAACUGUGCACAUCUUGACGGUACCUAAUCAGAAAGCCACGGCUAACUACGUGCCAGCAGCCGCGGUAAUACGUAGGUGGCAAGCGUUAUCCGGAAUUAUUGGGCGUAAAGCGCGCGUAGGCGGUUUCUUAAGUCUGAUGUGAAAGCCCACGGCUCA